rnacentral:rRNA from 1 species
CGUAGGGCGCAAGCGUUGUCCGGAAUUAUUGGGCGUAAAGAGCUCGUAGGCGGCCUGUCACGUCGGGUGUUAAAGCCCGGGGCUUAACCCCGGGUCUGCAUUCGAUACGGGCUAGCUAGAGUGUGGUAGGGGAGAUCGGAAUUCCUGGUGUAGCGGUGAAAUGCGCAGAUAUCAGGAGGAACACCGGUGGCGAAGGCGGAUCUCUGGGCCAUUACUGACGCUGAGGAGCGAAAGCGUGGGGAGCGAACAGGAUUAGAUACCCUGGUAGUCCACGCCGUAAACGGUGGGAACUAGGUGUUGGCGACAUUCCACGUCGUCGGUGCCGCAGCUAACGCAUUAAAUUCCCCGCCUGGGGAGUACGGCCGCAAGGCUA